rnacentral:rRNA from 1 species
CCUACGGGUGGCAGCAGUGGGGAAUAUUGGGCAAUGGGCGCAAGCCUGACCCAGCAACGCCGCGUGAAGGAAGAAGGCCCUCGGGUUGUAAACCUCUUUUUUUAGGGACGAAGCAAGUGACGGUACCUGAUGAAUAAGCCACGGCUAACUACGUGCCAGCAGCCGCGGUAAUACGUAGGUGGCAAGCGUUAUCCGGAUUUACUGGGUGUAAAGGGCGUGUAGGCGGGAAAGCAAGUCAGAUGUGAAAACCAUGGGCUCAACCUGUGGCCUGCAUUUGAAACUGUUUUUCUUGAGUACUGGAGAGGCAGACGGAAUUCGUGGUGUAGCGGUGAAAUGCGUAGAUAUUAGGAGGAACACCGGUGGCGAAGGCAGUCUGCUGGACAGCAACUGACGCUGAGGCGCGAAAGCGUGGGGAGCAAACAGGAUUAGAUACCCGUGUAGUC